AUUGAACGCUGGCGGCAGGCCUAACACAUGCAAGUCGAACGAGUGGCGGACGGGUGAGUAAUGUCUGGGAAACUGCCCGAUGGAGGGGGAUAACUACUGGAAACGGUAGCUAAUACCGCAUACCAUCGGAUGUGCCCAGAUGGGAGUAGCUAGUAGGGGGGGUAACGGCUAACCUAGGAAACGAUCCCUAGCUGGCCUGAGAGGAUGACCGGCCACACUGGAACUGAGACACGGUCCAGACUCCUACGGGAGGAAGCAGUGGAGAAUAUUGCACAAUGAGCGCAAGCCUGAUGCAGGCAUGCCGCGUGUAUGAAGAAGGCCUUCGGGUUGUAAAGUACUUUCAGCGAGGAGGCGUUACUCGCAGAAGAAGGGCCGGCUAACAACGUGCCAGCCGCCGCAGUAAUAC
rnacentral:rRNA from 1 species